GGUGGUAUUCACGCGUAAGCAACACUGUGAUCCCGUGCAGCAUGACCGGAAGGGCUCAGGCCGGCGCGGCGAGCCUUCCGCUUCCGGCCGCCAUAUCGUUGGGGAAAUGCUUUCGUUUCGUGGUGCUUUGAAGUGCAGCAGCAGGCAUUGCAAUCUCAAGGACCUCGGCAAUCAUUUUAAUCAUGGUUAAUUGCGCUGUGUUCGGAUGCAACAACGAGUCGCGGCGGAAAACUGACUCUGGUGAGAACACGAAGAAGCUUAGCUUUUUUCUGUGCCGAAUGUUGUUCGUUGGCAGUGCAGCUAGACCUUAGAGAUCUCAACGAAGCGUCGAGCGGAAUGGUUUCGUCGCCUCUACCGGGGUGACAUUAACACAGACGCUACCGACUACAAAUUCUGCAGCGAGCACUUCGUUUCUGGCAGGCCAUCCUACUUAAUGGAUCUGACGAAUCCGGACUGGGCGCCAAGCUUGUACCUAGGGUAUGACACAAAGUCAACAACUCGGUCUGAAGAAAGGCACCAUCGACGUUGCAAGAGGGCUGCGACUCCAAAGGAGGUCCAAAAGGCCGAUAGCAGAGUGCUGCGACCCUUGACUACAAUGUUGAAUGCGCAGCAGAGCGCUGUGAACAGUACUGUCACAAGUAAAAUGGCUUAUUCAUACAAGGGGAAUAUUUCCUUUAAUGACAUUCAGCAUUUUAACAUUUUUGUUUUUAUGCAGGCACACCACUUG